rnacentral:rRNA from 1 species
UACGGAGGGUGCGAGCGUUGUCCGGAAUCAUUGGGCGUAAAGCGCGUGUAGGCGGCCCGGUAAGUCCGCUGUGAAAGUCGGGGGCUCAACCCUCGGAUGCCGGUGGAUACUGUCGGGCUCGAGUACGGAAGAGGCGAGUGGAAUUCCUGGUGUAGCGGUGAAAUGCGCAGAUAUCAGGAGGAACACCAAUGGCGAAGGCAGCUCGCUGGGACGGUACUGACGCUGAGACGCGAAAGCGUGGGGAGCAAACAGG